UACGUAGGAGGCAAGCGUUUGUCCGGAAUUACUGGGCGUAAAGCGCGUGUAGGUGGUGGGACAAGUUUGCUGUGAAAGCGCCUGGCUUAACCGGGCGAGGUCGGCGGAAACUGUUCGACUCGAGGACGGUAGAGGGGGGUGGAAUUCCCGGUGUAGUGGUGAAAUGCGUAGAGAUCGGGAGGAACACCUGUGGCGAAGGCGGCCCCCUGGGCCGGCCCUGACACUGAGACGCGAAGGCGUGGGGAGCGAACGGG
rnacentral:rRNA from 1 species